UAUGGUCAUAUCAUGUUGAAACAUUGGUUCUCAUAUGAUCACUGAAGUUAAGCAAUAUCAAACCUUGUCAGUACCUAGAUGGAUGACCGUUUGGGAAUGCUAAGUGCUGUAAG